rnacentral:rRNA from 1 species
AUUGCACGCUGGCGGCAGGCUUAACACAUGCAAGUCGAGCGAGCGGCGGCCGGGUGAGAAAUGUUUGGGAAAGUGCCCGAGGGAGGGGGAUAACUACUGGAAACGGUAGCCAAUACCGCAUACCAUCAGAUGUGCUCAGAUGGGAGUAGCUCGUAGGUUGGGGAACGGCUCACCUAGUCGCCGAUCCCUAGCUGGUCUGAGAGGAUGACCAGCCACACUGGAACUGAGACACGGUCCAGACUCCUACGGGAGGCAGCAGUGGGGAAUAUUGCACAAUGGGCGCAAGCCUGAUGCAGCCAUGCCGCGUGUGUGAAGAAGGCCUUCGGGUUGUAAAGCACUUUCAGCGAGGAGGCGUUACCCGCAGAAGAAGCACCGGCUAACUCCGUGCCAGCAGCCGCGGUAAUAC